AGAUUGAACGCUGGCGGCAGGCCUAACACAUGCAAGUCGAGCGGUAGAGAGGUGCUUGCAUCUCUUGAGAGCGGCGGACGGGUGAGUAAUGCCUAGGAAUCUGCCUAGUGGUGGGGGAUAACGUUCGGAAACGGACGCUAAUACCGCAUACGUCCUACGGGAGAAAGCGGGGGACCUUCGGGCCUCGCGCCAUUAGAUGAGCCUAGGUCGGAUUAGCUAGUUGGUGAGGUAAUGGCUCACCAAGGCGACGAUCCGUAACUGGUCUGAGAGGAUGAUCAGUCACACUGGAACUGAGACACGGUCCAGACUCCUACGGGAGCAGCAGUGGGAAUAGUUGGACAAGUGGGACGAAAGCCUGACUCCAGCCCAUCGCCGCGUGUGUGAACGAAGGUCUUCGGAUUGAAAGCUACUUUAAGUGGAAGUAAGGUUAUAACCUAAGUCGUUAGACGUAACUUUGACGUUACCGA
rnacentral:rRNA from 1 species